GGGUCGGUUCAUAUAAGUACGCCACCCUUCAACGCCCUUUCUUGCUGCAAAUAUUUGGGUUUUUAGGGUUCUUACAGUUUCUUGAUUUUGUAUUCAUUGAUUGAAGAAUCACGAUGUUUUUAUCCCAUCGGCAUCGAAGCCCAGGCUAUGGGGGACUUCUUGGUCAGGUGAUUGUUACAGGUUCUGCAUAAGGACUUGGUCCUUCUCUCAGGCCUGUCAUCAGUCACUUGCAAGUAGGUGUCUGUGAACAUGUGUUCCGCUUUGGAAUAAAAGAAAUGAAAUUUGGGUUUUACUGACUCCUACUUAAGCAAAUAACAAAUACAUCACUCUUCAAAUACACCAGCUUUUGAUGUUUUUUUUGCAUGGAAAGCAAGUGCAAAUGGAAAUCAUCUGUAGAGCUAACUUUUGGACCUUCAGAUUGCAGUACAAAAGUAUAUAGAAUUUCCGUGUGAUGACUCAAUCAUCGUGUGAAAAUAUGUGCUUGAGGUGGUGACAUUUGGCGGUUAACGGCUCAACAAUCAGUGGUUUUCAAGAAGCAAUUCAUCAUACCUCGAUCUAAUCAGAGGCUAGAGAAAUGCGUUGGUUUAGGGAGCAUGGCAGGAAGUGUUGCAGGUGUGUCUCAUUGCAUCCUGCUGUUUUUUGGACUGCUAUUGGAGUGCACUGCUAAUGAAUUCGUCUCUUUAUCAAUUAUUUUGAAGAGGUUACUAUGUUGAGCAGAAAGACAUUGUCCAAGUCACCAUAUUUUCCAGUAAAAGUUUAGCGUCCGCCGAAGAUUGGCGAAAGGCUCUUGACAAGGUGGUUCCCGCCGUCGUUGUUCUCUAGACCAAUGCUUGCCAAGCAUUUGACACUGAGUCUGCUGGUGCAUGUUAUGUUACGGGCUUCGUCGAUUUUCUCUAUGAUGCAUAUGUAAUAUACGGAGGAAGAAGCAAAGAGAAAGGAGGAACCCCGAUGAUAUAUAUCUCAAUAUACAGACAUCCUGUAGCCAUAACCUACGUUUGAAGUGCUUCCAAAAAUGGAUUGGACAAGGCAUGGAUACAAGAGUCAAAUGCCGCAGUCAAAUUAGUCGCCAAAUGAUUAAUCAAUCAACCACAAAUAGACUCGGCACUGGUGACUGCAUAAAAGUGAUGCUCCUACAAGGCCUGCCUUAAGUAGCAUGUCCUCAGGCCAAUAUUGGCGGAGAAUGAUCUGGAGAGAAAUCAAGGUGUUUUUGUUGUAGAAGUUGUUGACAGGCAAUGGGGUGUGCAUUGGACCCAUGUUGCUGGAAUUGCAGGACAAGCAAUCUAUGGUGCUCUCAGGUGGUUAUGAAGAUGAUGAGGAUCAUGGAGAAUGGUUUCUCUACAGAGGGAAAACAUCCUGUGGCCAUAACUUACGUUUGAAGUGCUUCCAAAAAUGGAUUGGACAAGGCAAGGAUACAAGAGUCGAAUGCCGCAGUCAAAUUAGUCGCCAAAAUGAUUAAUCAAUCAACCACAAUAGACUCUGCACUGGUGACUGCAUAAAAAUGAUGCUUCUACAAGGCCUCAAGUAGCAUGUCCUAAGGUGAAUCAAGAAGAUCACCCUGACAACCCGUUUAUUAGGGAAGGAGCAGCUAUAUAAAAGAGAUGGAAUAGAUAUUGCAUCAAGCAGGAGGAUAUUUGUGACACUGAGCCCAAUAUUUUAACAGAAAAAAUUUGAUUCUUGGAUACACCUUGUAUACUGGUGAAUCAAGUAGAUCACCUUGAUAACUCGUUUAUUAGGGAAGGAGGGGCUAUAUAAAAGAGCUGGAACGGUUAAUGCAUCAAACUGGAGGAUAUUCCUGACCACCUCUUCGGAUCAUUUCGGGCCAAUAUUGACGGAGAAUGAUCUGGAGAGAAAUCAAGGUGUUUUUGUUGGAGAAUUGUGGACACAUCACUUGAAUUGCUGACAAUGGGGUGUGCAUUGGCCCCACGUUGCUUGAGUUGCAGGACAAGCAAUCUAGGGUGCUCUCAGGUGGUUAUGAAGAUGAUGAGGAUCAUGGAGAAUGGUUUCUCUACAGAGGAAAGUACAUGUUAAUUAUCCCUUCACAGAUGAAUUUUCAAUAUUUCUGGUUAGUUUUGAAGGUACUACUUCAUAUUCGAGGCAUGUACGUAUAGGCUGAUUGAUAAUAUUUUAUACUUGAGAGUUUUUCUUUAUCAGAUAUCUACAGAUAGACAUUUAUAUAAAAUACGAACAGUAACUUAGAAAAAAGUAGAUUAUCUGCUACAGCAUACAUACAAAAAAACAUGGAUUUAGUGUAAAGUUCUUUACCCUAUAGUACAUACACAAGUUAAUUCCCUUUUGUAAGAAUUAAUGUUAAUUAGCACUAGAAUGGUUUGCUUCACAAGGUCUAAUUCCGUGACGUUCAAUUGUUAGAUUUUUGGUAACUUCAGGAAGUUUACAAUAUUUAUGGUUUUGAUUUCUACAUCAGAACACUUACCUAGUUUAACUCUUACGGAUCUUUCUAGUGGUUACGUAUAUAUACACCUAGUUAAUUACAUUUGACGAAGUUUAAUUUCUAUACCUUGACAUCUUUUAAAGAGUUGUAUAUUAUUCUACCUAGUUGACAAAAUCAGUGGACACAGUACAAUGAAUCAGUGGACACAGUACAAUGAAAUGGUCAGAUUUAAAAGGAGAUAGGAAAAGAAAUAAGGAGGUAAAGAAGGUACCUGUGGUUGCACUGGGAACUCCCGGCUGCUACCUCCAUGAACUCCACUCACUAGUAGAUAAUACAUUACCUCCUAAGCGAGAACAAGGAAAAUAUCAGUGGCAAUAAAUGAACAAAUCUGAGUGAGAUAGAGAGAACAAAAAAGAAAUACCUAUCAAUAGUGAAUGUUCUUGUGUGAGCUCUGAUAUGCAGAGAAGGAGACAAACAAGAUGGAAAUAAACCUAGAUUAGGAAUCAAAGUGUGAGGUUUCAGUGGCUGCAGGGGGAAGCAUCUGAAAGGCUAAGUUGAAAAAGGAAAGAGCGGAACAAGCGAAAGUUAUUAGGUUUCCUCUGUUAUAGAUAGAGGGUUGGGUUUGGGUUGGGCCGUAUUUUCUUCAUCACAAACACCGUUGAUAUACAGCUUAACCCAAACCAAACCCUCUUAUCUAUAAUAAAGAUAGGAAACCAAAUAACUUCCGCCUCUUCUGCUCUUUCCCUUUUCAGCUUAGCCUUUCAGAUGCUUCCCUUCGACAUUCAUCGAAACCUCACACUUUGGUUCUUCAGCUGGGUUUGUUUCCAUCUUUCUCCGUAUGUCACAACUCACAUGGGAGCAUUCACUACUGAGAUGUAUUUCUUUUUUGUUCUCUUUAUCUUAGUUUUUUUUUUCAUUUCUUGCCAUUGAUAAUUUCUUUUUUCCUCCUUAGGAGGUAAUGUGUUGUCCACCAGUGUGUGGAGUUCGUGGAGGUACUGUCAGGAGUUCGCAGUGCGACCACAUGUACUUCCUUGAUCUCUCUAUUUCUUUUCCUUUCUCCUUUUAGAUGACCCUUCUUUGUAUUAUGUCAACUAGGUAGAAUAAUUUACAGGUCUUCAAGGUAUAAAAAUUAAAUUCCGUCAAAUAUAAUUAACUAGGUGUGUAUGUACAUAACUACUAGGAAGAUUUCUAAGAGUUAAACUAGAUAAGUUGUUUUGAUGUAGAAGUCAAAAACCAUAAACACUGCAAACUUAUUUUAGUAACCAAAAAUCUUACAAUGAGGAAGAGAAUAUACACCAAUAAGAACCAACCCUUCAUGUUGAACAUGUCCUUAUUUUGCAUCCCAAAAGCCAUGGAAUGCCAACUAUAUCACGGAGUGCACCAAAAUAAAUAUAGGCAAUAGUUCUAUUUGGACAGUUGAAGAUGAAUAAUGUGUUUACUGGGACUCGUCCUGCAAACGCGCUUGGGAAACUGAGGUUACUCUCUACUGAAAUCAUCCAAGGGAAGAGAAAGAAUUACUUCCGAUUAAAAAAGAACGUUUUAGGAUCAUUUUACUAUUGGGUCAGAAGUUGAUUUGUAGUGCUACUUUCUGUUUUUGAAACCAAUUAGAUAUAGUGUCCUUGCUACGCAGAACUAAUUUAUCUGUGAGAAUCUUCGUAUUACAUAAGAUGCUGUUGGUGCUUAAUGCGAGAAUUCUUGGUUACAUGAUUGCUACAGGUUCUGGAAUAAUGUUUUUGUUCAGGCAUUUCAUCAGGUACUUGCAACUUGCAAGUAAAUGCUUGUGGACAUUUUGAGGUGUUUUUGAACGGAAAACAAAUGAAAAUGGAAAUCAUCUGCCGGAACAAGCUUUUGGACCUUCAAUUUGCAGUACUAAGCAUAUGUAAUUUUUGUAUGAUGACUUAGUUACACGGUGAUUCUAUGUGCUUCAAGCGGUGACAGCUUUAUUACAUGCGCCUUCAAAUGUGUGAUUUAUUAUGUAGAUGUCUUUGAUUAAUGGCAGAUGGCUCAACAAUCAGUGCUGCUCAAGAAGCAAUUCACAAUAUCACUGAUCAAGCAAUACCAUAACCGAACCAGAGGCUAGGGAAAUUCUUGGUUCACAGAGUCUUCGCCAUUGCAUCCUGCUGUUUUUGGACUGGUAUUGGAGUGCAUCGCUCAUGAAUUCGUCUCUUUAUCAAUUUUUUUGAUGAGGUAAUAUUACCUCAUUUAAGGGAAAUGCAAAGACUUGGGAGUUCUCAUCUUCAAAUGAAGGUUUACAAAAGCAAGGGAACUUUAGAAGCACUUUCCCAGAGCAAAUUAAGCACUGCAUCUGAGUUUUUUGUAAAGUUGUGCUUCUGCUAGAGAUUUCCUGGUAUUUUAAGGGGAAUAUGUUGAGCAGAAAAGCGUAUUUUUCCUGUAUAAGUUUCCGUAUAUAUCUAAACCUCAAGCAGAAGCAUUUUAGUUAAUGAUUUAUGUAAUUUUCAUCACGUUUGGCGUCCUUUUGCUCAAACCCGCUCUUCCCAUCAUUGUUUCAGGCACAUUUGGCUAUUGAAAUCUAGUGAGUUGUGUUGAAGCAGUGCCCCUGAUAUGGUGAAAUGGAUGAUAACAAAGCAAUGAACGGCGAGGGCACUGAGUAAAAAGUAAUGUCUCUUGGUAAUUCGUCAUUGAAAGUCUCUUGUUCAAGUCCAUCAGGAAUGAUGAGAGGAGAGAGGGAGAAGCAGAGCUCGAGGAAUAAGCCUACAUCCGUGUAAGGCAUAUAGUGGUAAAACUUACUCGAGUGUUUACCCCGAUUCAGUACUCCUUAUGGUAAGUCUUACCACGAAGCAUUUUGUUGCACUUCAAUCAUUCUCUUGAAGAGGCAUGUUUACCUAUGAGGAUGAUGAAAAAAGCAGUGGUUAGGUUUUUAGGUAGAUAGAUAUGUAGUGCAGUAAAGUUUGACAAUAUUGUAUUGGAUAAGGGAUAUGAUUGACUGUCAAGUUUGAAAUAUUGAACCUUACAUUAAUCUUUAGAGGAAAGAAGAAGUCUACCUUAUGCAGAAUCUCUCUUAUCUGCUAGUAGUAGCAGGGACUCUUUAUGUAUUUUCAAGAAAGCAACUACGUUACUUGACUA